GGUUUGUUCAUCAGAUCGUGGUAGCAGACUCAACAGGAAAAAAUGGCUCCAAAGAAGGGUGUUGCAGUAGCAGCAAAGAAGAAGCCGGAGAAGUCUAAGGUGGUGAAUCCACUAUUCGAGAAGCGGCCAAAGCAGUUCGGUAUCGGUGGAGCUCUGCCGCCAAAGAAGGAUGUAACAAGGAACGUAAGAUGGCCUCGGAAUGUUACCCUUCAAAGGAAGAAGAGGAUUCUGAAGAUGCGAUUGAAGGUUCCUCCAGCACUUAAUCAGUUCACCAAAACUCUUGAUAAAAAUCUCGCUACAACACUUUUCAAGAUGCUUCUUAAGUACAGGCCUGAGGACAAAGCUGCAAAGAAGGAGCGUCUUGUCAAAAGGGCUCAAGCUGAGGCUGAAGGAAAAACUCCGGAAACAAAGAAACCCAUUAUUGUGAAGUAUGGCCUUAAGCAUAUCACUUAUCUUAUUGAGCAGAACAAAGCUCAGUUAGUAGUGAUUGCUCAUGAUGUGGACCCAAUAGAGUUGGUUGUCUGGCUUCCUGCACUAUGCAGAAAGAUGGAAAUCCCUUACUGCAUUGUGAAGGGGAAAGCACGUUUAGGAUCGAUCGUGCAUAAGAAAACUGCUUCAGCCUUGUGUUUGACAACCGUGAAGAAUGAAGACAAAAUGGAGUUCAGCAGAGUUUUGGAGGCAAUUAAGGCCAACUUCAAUGACAAGUAUGAAGAGAACAGGAAGAAGUGGGGUGGUGGUAUCAUGGGCUCCAAGUCACAGGCCAGGACCAAGGCCAAAGAGAGAGUUCUUGCUAAGGAAGCUGCCCAGAGGUUGAACUAAGAGCUUGCUGUGAUAUAUACACUGCUAUUGGAUUCAAGAUCAACUCCAAUUUUUGUGUUUGGUUCACAUGCUCGACAAUGUUAGAGAUAUUAGUUCGAUAAGUUCCACCAUUAUGUUUGCCUUUUGCAGAUUAUUGCUCUGUCGGAGCUUAAAAUUAAAACUUUUUGACGUUCUUGUUAGAUGUUUUGUUGAGUGUUUUUUAUGGCUGUGAAUCGCUCAGUUAUUCAAGUAUCCAUGCUUUUA
rnacentral:misc_RNA from 1 species